rnacentral:piRNA from 1 species
UCUAGUUUCUGGGGAUCUAUAUGCUU